CGGGCGCGAGAGGCGGGGCUGCGCUGAAGACCCGGGGCCUGUCCGCGGCUGCGCCUGCCGGGCCCCCUGUCCUGGGCUCUCCGCUACGCAGCGCUCGUUGGGACCGCUCGUGAGCACCUGCAGUGAGCGCUGGGCGGUGCGGGGACCCGCGAGCCCGACGGCCCCGAGAGAUCCGGAGGGCCAGCCCGCCUUUGCCCCGGGCGUGCGGGCGGCACGUGCAAAGGUCCGGGGGCAUACGCGGGACUGCUGGGUGCAGAGGCUGCGAGGGCCGCUAGCCGGGCAGGCGGCCGUGAGGGAUGGCAUCCGCCAGGGAAGGGAGCGACGAGGAGGUCAGGGAUGUCGCCCUGCUGCCAGAGCCGCCCCGGGGGCCCCUGCAGGCGGCCCGUGCCCGGGCCUCCUUCCCCUGGAGGGAGCUGGCGCUGUUCUGGGAGGGCGAGGACACCCUGCGUUUCAAGAACACCGUCUUCUCGGCUCUAGAGAACGACCCCCUCUUCUCCCCUCCCCGGGGCGGCGGGCUCCCGGUGGAGAAGUACCAGGAGGUGAACUUCCUGCGCUGCAAGCGGGUCUUGGAGUACAGCUUCCUCCGCGGGGAGGACCUGCUGUGGAGCCCGCAGAGGAUCUCGUCGCUGCUGCACUGCCUGGGCGCCUACGACUGGUCCUUGGCCAACAUGCUCAUCCUGCACCUGCUGAGUUUUGGAUCACUGAUUUACACCUCUGGUUCUGAAAGCCAUCUCAAAUACAUCCCAAAGAUCGUGAGCACAGAGAUUUUUGGGUGUUUUGCUCUGACCGAACUGAGUCACGGGAGUAAUACCAAGGCCAUCCGGACCACCGCUCACUACGACCCCACCACCGAGGAAUUCAUCAUACAUUCCCCUGACUUUGAAGCGGCCAAGUUCUGGGUCGGCAACAUGGGCAAGGUGGCGACUCACGCGGUGGUGUUUGCUCAGCUCUACACGCCCGGGGGCCAGUGCCACGGAAUACACCCCUUUAUCGUGCAGAUCCGGGACCCGAAGACCCUUCUCCCCAUGCCGGGGGUGAUGGUCGGCGACGUGGGGAGGAAGCUCGGGCAGAACGGCCUGGGCAACGGAUUCGCCAUGUUCCACCAGGUCCGGAUUCCGCGCCAGGACCUGCUGAACCACACGGCAGACGUCACCCCCGAGGGCACCUACGUCCCCAGACUCAAGGACGCCCGGCAGCGCUUCGGCCGGGCCCUGGGCAGCCUGUCCACAAGCCGGGUCUUUAUCGUGGCCUUGACCAUCAUCAACUUAAAGCUGGCCCUUUCCAUAGCUCUGCGCUUCUCGGCCACCCGGCGUCAGUUCGGACCUGCAGAUGGCGAGGAAGUGCCCGUGCUGGAGUACCAGACGCAGCAAUGGCGCCUGCUCCCGUACCUGGCCGCCACCUGGGCCCUGGACCACUUUUCCAGAUGCCUCUUCCUGGCUCUGCGGGAGCUGCAGCUAGGCUUUCUGAAGAACGACCAGAGCGCCAGGCAGGCCGAGCUAGGACGAGAGGUCCACGCCUUGUCGUCGGCCGGCAAGCCCCUGGCCUCGUGGACUGCCCAGCGGGGAAUUCAGGAGUGUCGGGAGGCGUGCGGAGGACAUGGCUAUCUGGCCGUGAACCGUCUGGGCGACCUCAGGGACGACAACGACCCCAACUGCACGUACGAAGGUGACAACAACCUCCUGCUGCAGCAGACCAGCAACUACCUGCUCAGCCUGUGGGAGCGCCGCAGCCAAGGUGGCGGCCGCAUUGAGAGCCCGCUUGAGACUGUGGACUUUCUGGACGCCUGUCCUGACAUCCUUGGCCAGAGGUUCGAAGGUUGCAGCCCUGAGGACUUCCUGGACUCCUCGGUCCCCCUGGCGGCGUACAAGUGGCUGGUUUGUUACCUGCUCCGGGAGAGUUACCAAAAGUUCAGUCAGGAGAAACAGUUGGGAAGCAGCGACUUCGAAGCGAGAAACAACUCUCAGGUGUACUACUGCCGCUCCCUGGCCCUGGCGUACCUGGAGCUCACGGUCGUGCGAAUGUUCCACCAGUUCACGCACCAGCCCCACGUGCCGCCCCCGCUGCAGCCGGUGCUCCGGCGGCUCAGCGCCCUCUACGCCCUGUGGUCCCUGAACCAGCACACGGCCCUGCUCUACCGCGGUGGCUACUUUUCUGGGGAGCAAGCGGGUAAAAUGGUGGAGAACGCCAUCCUGACCCUGUGUGCCCAGGAAGGGUCCCUUUCGGGGACUGUCCCAGCGUCUGCACACUUUCACUCUCUGCUCCCUCAGGGCUGUGGAUGAUUCGAGCAUUUCAAGUCAGCCUCCAACUUAGGUCCAUUUCCUGGUAUUUCACUUUUUUAUCGCAUCCUCCUCACUUGGUUACCCCAAAAAGUCGGACGGCCCAGCCCCACGCUGUGUCCUGGUGGCACCCUGCCUCCGGGACUUUCUACGGGGCUGGGCUGUCCCGUGCGGCCACCACUGGCCUCCAGGGCUGUUGGCAGUGGCAUCGUGGUGGGCGACUGAGGAGGGGCUGUUGGCAGGGGCACCGUGGCGGGGUGACUGAGGAGUCUUAGUUUUCUUUACCAUUAAACUGUCACACGUGUCUUGGCUGCCGUAUCCGGCACUGCAGCUGAAGCUUCCCUUUUUUUUCCCCCACACCCACAGCAUGCAGAAGUCCCCCGGGCCAGGGAUCAAACUGCGCCGCAGCAGGGACCUGAGCUGAGGCAGUGAUGCCAGAUCCUUAACCCAGUGGGCCACCAGGGGACUCCUGGAGGCUUGACUUUUGAUGGGAAGAUGAGAGUCAGAGCCCCCAGCAUUGUAUCACGAUGGUGACAGGCCCGUCAGUGCUCUCCCGUGCUGGGGACAAUGGCUUUCUGAUUGUAGCUCAGCCUCUCUGAGGGCUCCUUUCCCGAGCGCCCGUCUGUCUCCACAUGGGCUCCACCUGAAAGACGACUCUGUUGCCCUGGUGGAUGUGAUGGCCCCCCCUGACUUCAUCCUGGACUCACCGAUUGGCAGAGCCAAUGGCGAGCUCUACAAAAACCUCUGGGGCGCCGUGCUGCAGGGCAGCAAGGUGCUGGAGAGAGCCUCGUGGUGGUCUGACUUUGUUAACAAGCCUGUCAUAGGCGGUCUGAAAUCCAACCUGUAGAUGCACCAGCCCCGGAGGACAUGGCCUCGCGUUCAAGCUCUGAAGGCGCCAGUGCGGGCCGGGGCCGCUGCUGCGCCUGCUGCUCUGCGUGCGCCCGGCUGAUUGUCGUGUCGAGCCCGAGCAGGACCGGCCCUUCCUGGCCUGGGUCCCCCCGUGUCCCACCAGGGCAGGUAAAUGCCUAGCAGGCGGGGCUCAUUUGCAUGCAUCCUGAUUCUCUGGGUGAAAAGAACUCCUGUAUGACCCCGUCUUUCUGAUGGACUGGGCACUUUUUGGUCAUCAGAGCUUGGCACCUUCUAUUUUUAUAUGCCGAAUAAUAAGCGGAUUGCUCGGGAUGCGGGGUUUCCUGGUCCGGCGGUGUUUUGCCCUCGCCUGAGAAGUUUUUUAGCACAGCUCUGCUUCGCUAAACCCUGAGCAGUGCCAGUCUGAUUCUCUGUUCACUCUGCGUUGACUUUCUCCUGUAAUUAAACCAUAUCAUAACCUUACUCGAAUGCACCAAAUGACCUAGCGGAAGAUUUUUAAGAAAAUCAGUUUUAUUACUUUCUCGUGUGGAACUAGACGUUUCCAUCAAGGAAAUGUUUCCAAUGGAAAAAAUAAAUUCAUGAUGAUUUGAA